AUCUAAGUACCCCGAGGAAAAGAAAUCAACCGAGAUUCCCCCAGUAGCGGCGAGCGAACGGGGAGGAGCCCAGAGCCUGAAUCAGCAUGUGUGUUAGUGGAAGCGUCUGGAAAGGCGCGCGAUACAGGGUGACAGCCCCGUACACAAAAGCGCAUGUGCUGUGAGCUCGAUGAGUAGGGCGGGACACGUGGUAUCCUGUCUGAAUAUGGGGGGACCAUCCUCCAAGGCUAAAUACUCCUGACUGACCGAUAGUGAACCAGUACCGUGAGGGAAAGGCGAAAAGAACCCCGGCGAGGGGAGUGAAAAAGAACCUGAAACCGUGUACGUACAAGCAGUGGGAGCACCCUUCGGGGUGUGACUGCGUACCUUUUGUAUAAUGGGUCAGCGACUUAUAUUCUGUAGCAAGGUUAACCGUAUAGGGGAGCCGGAGGGAAACCGAGUCUUAAUUGGGCGUUAAGUUGCAGGGUAUAGACCCGAAACCCGGUGAUCUAGCCAUGGGCAGGUUGAAGGUUGGGUAACACUAACUGGAGGACCGAACCGACUAAUGUUGAAAAAUUAGCGGAUGACCUGUGGCUGGGGGUGAAAGGCCAAUCAAACCGGGAGAUAGCUGGUUCUCCCCGAAAGCUAUUUAGGUAGCGCCUCGUGAAUUCAUCUCCGGGGGUAGAGCACUGUUUCGGCUAGGGGGCCAUCCCGGCUUACCAACCCGAUGCAAACUGCGAAUACCGGAGAAUGUUAUCACGGGAGACACACGGCGGGUGCUAACGUCCGUCGUGAAGAGGGAAACAACCCAGACCGCCAGCUAAGGUCCCAAAGUCAUGGUUAAGUGGGAAACGAUGUGGGAAGGCCCAGACAGCCAGGAUGUUGGCUUAGAAGCAGCCAUCAUUUAAAGAAAGCGUAAUAGCUCACUGGUCGAGUCGGCCUGCGCGGAAGAUGUAACGGGGCUAAACCAUGCACCGAAGCUGCGGCAGCGAACGUAUCACCCAAGACAACUUUACGGAGUUGACGAUUGACGGAGCGAAGCGACGUCAAAGCGUUCAUUAAAGUCGAGUUGGCUUAGGGAUACGUUCGUUGGGUAGGGGAGCGUUCUGUAAGCCUGUGAAGGUGUGUCGUGAGGCAUGCUGGAGGUAUCAGAAGUGCGAAUGCUGACAUAAGUAACGAUAAAGCGGGUGAAAAGCCCGCUCGCCGGAAGACCAAGGGUUCCUGUCCAACGUUAAUCGGGGCAGGGUGAGUCGACCCCUAAGGCGAGGCCGAAAGGCGUAGUCGAUGGGAAACGGGUUAAUAUUCCCGUACUUGGUGUUACUGCGAAGGGGGGACGGAGAAGGCUAUGUUGGCCGGGCGACGGUUGUCCCGGUUUAAGCGUGUAGGUGUGUGUUCCAGGUAAAUCCGGUUCACUUUAACACUGAGGCGUGACGACGAGGCACUACGGUGCUGAAGCAACAAAUGCCCUGCUUCCAGGAAAAGCCUCUAAGCAUCAGGUAACAUCAAAUCGUACCCCAAACCGACACAGGUGGUCAGGUAGAGAAUACCAAGGCGCUUGAGAGAACUCGGGUGAAGGAACUAGGCAAAAUGGUGCCGUAACUUCGGGAGAAGGCACGCUGACAC
rnacentral:rRNA from 1 species